GACAGAGGAUGCAAGCGUUAUCCGGAAUGAUUGGGCGUAAAGCGCGCGUAGGCGGGCUCUUAAGUGAAGAAGUGAAAGGCUGGGGCUCAACUCCAUGCAGUGCUUCUCAUACUGGGGGUCUUGAGGGCGGUAGAGAGAAGUGGAAUGGCUGGUGUAGCGGUGAAAAUGCGUAGAUAUCAGGAGGAACACCGAUGGCGAAGGCAGGAUCUCCUGGGCCGAUACUGACGCUGAGGACGAAAGCGUGGGGAGCAACAGGA
rnacentral:rRNA from 1 species